GCGGGGAACGGACGGUGCCGACCUGAGGCUGGACGGCGUGCGGCUGUCGGUAGAGAUAACGUUGACCCGGCUGGGUUUCUGUCAGCCCGCUUAUCCCAGCUGAAAACGCUCGCUUAGAAAACCGAAACCUUCAUUAAGACGUCGUCGUCGGACGGCAAGUAGUAACGAUCGGCAAAAGAAAGCAUGCGUAUAAAAUUGUGCUGCCUCUUGGUUAUACAUUACUAUUAAAACCUCUCUGACAGUUUCUCUUUUAGGUGCUUGCCCUGCCAGGCUCCGUUGUGUAGGGGUUAAAGAGCAGUCGUUUCCCACCUCGCAACCUGUGGAUUCAGCUGUGUUGGGGCAGAAGAGACGGGACCAGCUGCUGGCCACAUUUCCUGCUUUAUUUUAAAAGGUAGUAUAAGAAAUGAGAAUAAAGAGGUAACAGGGCUUUUGCUAUCUUUGUUUAAACAAACAAACGAAAAAAGGUUGAAUGCUGGGAUUCAUUAACUGUCAUCUGAGAUAUUUUUUAGAAGACAGUAUUCUAUCAAGCAGUGCUUUCAGAAUUCCAUCUGUUCAGGAUGCACUGCCAGCACAAGAGAGACUUAAGAUAUGCAUUACUGCGGUGGCAUCGGCAGGACUGUUCCAAGGUUCAGUCUUUAGCUGUGUGCUCUGCUGUAAGUGGUGGGUUGUGCCAGGACCUUCUCAAGAUAUGUGCUGACUGAUCCACAAAAUGGAAAUUAGUGAGUUAGAUUGAGCCUAGGUUGAAUCUGCCUGGCUCAGGAUUCACAACCAUGCUUCAGUUUGAAUUUUAGUGUGUGCAUGAGGAGAAGGGAAACACUAAAUGCAGCAAGUGUGGGAUGUUACAGUGGCAUUUCUACAGUCACUUCAGUGCAGAAGUUUAAGUUAAAUAUGCAUUAUUUCAUUUUGCAUCACUACAAAGCAGUAGGAGUUAGAGAUCUAUGUUAUGAAGCUGCACAUCACUCCAGCCAUGAAACCACCUGUGAGCUGUGUCUGAGAGUAGCUGAUGUUCUGGUACACACAGUGACAUAGACCUGAACAAGAACAAGGUCAAGUCCCAGAAAGUAAGUGGCUGCAGGCAUAUCUAGUGCCUGCUGAGUCAUAUUUAAUCCAAAUAGAGGGGAGGAGAUUAUUUGAAACUAACCAACUGUACCAUCUGUAUGGUGUAUUAAUGUAGCUUUUUGAAGUGGAAGCCUUGAAAUGACUAUAACUUAAUACUUGAAAAUAUAUUGUAAAUGUUUCUUUGUAAUGACGUGCCAUCCAGAUGAGAUAUCGUAAUAAAGUCAGACCUGUUGAUCUUUCAGUUGAUGGGCUCAGAUGUUUUCUUCAUCUUUUUCCUCUCGCUGGUACCUUGCUUUAAUUGAGUGCUUCACUACACAAAAUGGGAAUCAGGAAAAUUCUGCUGCGUGGGUAAGCUGAUGGAACAGAAGAUUAAAUGGAUCAGCACAUCCUGAAGGAAGGUUCUUGCUCAUCUGUCUUUCAAGUUAGUUUGGGGUAAAGAAGAAACAAAGGCAUUGUUCCUUGAACCAAAGAUAGAACUGUUCUUCAGCAAUAACUACAUUUUGUAUUUCACAGCUGUUUCCCUUUAUUAGUGUGAAUAUAUCUAAUCAAUAAGCCACAGAGGAGUGGAGUUUUUACAUUCCGUGGGCUGCAGUCUCCCUCUGCUAUCCUUACUAAGUUCUGAAGUUUGAUAAAUAGUAAUGUGCUCUUAGCCAUAAUGUUCCAUCAUACUGUUGUUUCUAUGUUCAGCACUAGGGUGAGUGUAUGUUAGAGGGUUCUGAAGGGACAGCAUUUGUAAAGCUCCAGAGUGAGCCAUGUGCUGCUGUGGACUUUAAUUUCUAUUACUCUUAAAUGCAUUAUUUGUAAAGAGCACAUUAAAGAAAUGUGCUGGCUUUCAGUGCUGAACUGCCUAACUAUACUAAAUUUUCCAGUAUUUCUUCACCCCAAGAUCACCUGGAGCCUAUUUCGAGUUCAGUAAGAAGCAAUUUCAUUCUUGGUUCACUGGUAGUCUUUUACAGACAGCACAUUAACUUUUCUUCUGUUUUCUGAAGAGCUUAACAGCAUCUGGAGGAACAUCUACCCAGCAACUGCCCACAGAACCUCUGUUCUCAAAAGCUAGCAAAGAGUUUCCCUGUGAGAAUCAACAAGAUUCUAUUUGUAGCAUUAUAUUUAUAAAUGUUUCAAGGAUUUAUUAGCUGUUGUGGAUACUCAAAUGGGUUGUGUUUAAAGAACACCCUGUGUAAAACUGCACCUUGGCAGUAAUGGAGUCUGUGUUUUCUCAUCCAACUGCUGUUGGAUAUAGAGAGCUGGAGAAAUAACACUGCCUCUGCUCACUGGCAGGAAGGAACAUUGAGAUUUGCCAUCUGAAAUGAAAAAUGUACAAGAUAAACACUAGAAAAGUACUAAUUUUAUCUUCAUUUUUCUUUAUAGCCAGUCCCUUAGUGUCCUUCUGGUAGAGUUCAGACUUAAACUAAUCAUAAAUCUAUCAGUACAGGCUAUUUAUCAGGCAUGUGACGUGUAGUCUGUGACUGCCUCCUUGCAGCUAUGAAGGUAGCAGAAGGCAUACAGAUCAGACCUAAAGGAAUAUUGUUUUCCUCUUGUUAUACAGAAUGCUCUCUACCUUCCAUCCUAAAAUAAGAGUAGAGAACAGUUUGUCCUCACUGAAUCAUUUAAAAGCACAGCAUGCAUUUUGAUUAGUUGGAGAAUAAUUACCGCUUGAAUUGAUAGCAAAAUAAAAACAGUGCAUGGAAUGGAAGGAGGUUUUGAACAUCACCCAUAGUGUGAGGGUCUGCUUUCACUGUCAGCCAUGUAAACACUCAAGUAACCACCUCUGAACCAUUCAUUUUCUUAAAGACACUAGUGCAAAGUAAUAGCUUAAAAUAUUAUUGUUUUUUUUCUUUGUCACAGGUAAGUGGUUCAGUGAGUUAAAGUCUGAUGAUACAACUCCUGGAAAUACCAUCGUUCACUGCCUAGUAAAAUAUUUGUGAGAAUCACUAAAGUGGAGGAUGAUGAAGGUAAGGCUGGCCAAAACGUCCCCUUAGAUGCAGGUCAGUGUGAGAACAUAGGAAUACUUCAGGCCAAGCAAAACUAAACCAACUUUGUGUAACAGCUGUUGCUGUAGUGUCAUUUUGCUGCUUUGCCUGUACAAAUAAGGUUAUAGAGAAAUAAUAGCAUGAUUUUCCUGCUAUAACAAGGAAACUAAAAUAAACGUGAAACUAAAAUACAA